GCAACCCAGCCGUUAGUCAGAUCCCCAGACGUGAAAUGGGACGCACAGCGCGCUGCGUGUUGCUGCUUGUGGGGAUUCUCUGAUGAACACGGCCGCGUGAAUCCGCACCGAGGACAUAACUACCCUGGGGGCCGUGCUCCAGUUAAACAGAGCACGUGCAGAAGGGUACUCAGGCUGCAAUAACGGCCUCCCAUCCUUGACCCGAUCCUCAGCACCUCCGGCUGAUCCCUGCGGAUCGGUGGAAUGACUCCUGCUUGUUUUUGCGAAAGCAGAGGUUAGCUUCGUAACGGUAAUGGAGAGGAGCCUACAGGUCAUGUCAGAGCAACACUUUCCGUCAGUUCUGCCAGACUACAUCUGAGGAGGAGCCGUGGGAUUAGCGUGGACGCUCGCGGACGCUCGCAGACACCCGACCGCUCCAGAACCACACCAAUCAAUCCCACACGGAGUGCUUAAAAAAAAUAAAUAAAUAAAAAAAGAGACGCCA